rnacentral:rRNA from 1 species
ACGAACGCUGGCGGCGUGCUUAACACAUGCAAGUCGAACGGUGAAGCGCCUUCCUUUUUGGUGGGUGUGGAUGAGUGGCGAACGGGUGAGUAACACGUGAGUAACCUGCCCCCUUCUUCUGGAUAACCGCAUGAAAGUGUGGCUAAUACGGGAUAUUCUGGGUCUGUCGCAUGAUGGGUCUGGGAAAGAUAUUGUUUCGGUGGGGGAUGGGCUCGCGGCCUAUCAGCUUGUUGGUGGGGUGAUGGCCUACCAAGGCGGUGACGGGUAGCCGGCCUGAGAGGGUGGACGGUCACACUGGGACUGAGACACGGCCCAGACUCCUACGGGAGGCAGCAGUGGGGAAUAUUGCACAAUGGGCGAAAGCCUGAUGCAGCGACGCCGCGUGAGGGAUGGAGGCCUUCGGGUUGUGAACCUCUUUCGCCAGUGAAGCAGGCCUGCCUCGUUUGUGGGUGGGUUGACGGUAGCUGGAGAAGAAGCGCCGGCUAACUACGUG